GCAGUGAGGAAUAUUGGUCAAUGGGCGGAAGCCUGAACCAGCCAAGUCGCGUGAGGGAUUAAGGCCCUGCGGGUCGUAAACCUCUUUUGCCGGGGAGCAGUGGUCCGGACGCGUCCGGGCCGGGAGAGUACCCGGAGAAAAAGCAUCGGCUAACUCCGUGCCAGCAGCCGCGGUAAUACGGAGGAUGCGAGCGUUAUCCGGAUUUAUUGGGUUUAAAGGGUGCGUAGGCGGGCAUUUAAGCCGGCGGUCAAAUGUCGGGGCUCAACCCCGGCCUGCCGUCGGAACUGGGUGCCUUGAGUGGGCGAGAAGUAUGCGGAAUGCGUGGUGUAGCGGUGAAAUGCAUAGAUAUCACGCAGAACCCCGAUUGCGAAGGCAGCAUACCGGCGCCCUACUGACGCUGAGGCACGAAAGUGCGGGUAUCGAACAGGAUUAGAUACCCUGGUAGUCCGCACAGUAAACGAUGGAUGCUAUCUGUCCGGGCCGAAUGAGGCCUGGGUGGC
rnacentral:rRNA from 1 species